CUAUCACAACACCGACAUCUAAUCAAAUGGGCUAAGUGGGUCAGGUGCACAGUUCACGGGCGACGCCCAGCCUUGAAUUGGGGACAUCGUAGAGGAGCCUGUGGUUCUGCUGCUGCAAGUUGGCAAUGACGUUCAGCACCGAGUUCACGUUGUCAGGGGCGGCUGCCAUGGCCAGGCAGGUCGUGCUGCCGGCGGUGCUGUGAAUCAGCAGGUUAUCCGGUGGCAGCGUCACGUUCAUGCCCGUGAACAUGAAGGUUAUCGUGGGCGCUGCUAUGGGCACCGUGUAGCAUGUGUCGAAUCCCCCCAGUGACGUUACUGUCAAGUUCCUCCCCACCCUGUUUCUGAACGCGUCUCUCACUGCUAUGUACGCCGGCGUUACGAGCCUCGUGAACACCGUCCCUGGUUCACAACCCUCUUUGUAAUUAUACUUCCAUUCGUUUACAAAACUAAAUCAUUCCUUAAUUCCCUUUCUUCAGUUAUAAUUCAAAAUUUUCAAUUUUAAAUGAAAAUGAUAAGUUCACUAUAGUUAAUUUCUUCGAAUUGUUUUCCGACGGAUAUCACAAAAUAUCAUAUUUAUCGACCGAUAUUAUAUCCGAAAAAGCAAUUCGAUAAAUCUAACUAAAGUACUCGGCAUUACUCACUAUUAAAAUAAAAUGUUUAAAUUUUAAACCAUUAAUUAUGUUAAUUUUUUUUAUCACUUCAUGUGAUAGGUGAUUGUUAAAGGUCUUUUAAUGAUUACCUAUCACAUCAAUGAGAUAUAGAAUAUGAUAAAGUAUGGCAAUAAUGUUAAUAAGUAUUAACAUUAAUACCUAUAUUGUAUAUGCAGUAGUGUUUACAAUUUUUUUAAGUAUGGAGGAAAAUUAACUAGAGAAAUAAAGAUUUUGUGAAUAGAAAAGGUUACCGGAGUCAAAGAUGGUGCCGGCACCGGUGGAGGGGUUGAAGGUGAAGGAGCCUGGAGGGACGUCCACAACUCUCCGGCCGACCCUAACUGCCAUAAGGUUGACAAAGUAAAGUGAUGGUCUUCUAGGGUUCUUGAGCAAUGGGGUGUACUUGAUCCUCUUGGGCUGCCCAACUGGGCCCAACCUCAGCGACCCAGAGAAGUUGAGGGACUUGAAGCUAGGCAAGCAGUAGGAGAAUGUGGAUUGGUAUAGGUUUUGGGUCUGGGACAGCAACGACAAGGGGCCUCGGCCCAGGCCCAGGAGGCCCUGCGCCGGUAGGGAUCCGCCGGUGGCCUUUUGUAUGCAACCGAAGCUGUAGCCGGGGACUGCAUCGGUGGCUAGGGUGAUGGUGUCCUGUGAGAGGUUGGCUGCUAAGGAGGAGCCACCAUAGGUGAGGUUGAAUGAGCACACCCCCCCACCGCAUGUGGGUUUUGGCACCUGAAAUUACGCGAAGAUCAUAGAAGUUAAAAAGUCUUUUUUUAUAUAAAGGCCCUGGUGACAUGUCAAGAAAAAAACAAAGGAAACAACACUCGGAGAUGUGAGUAAUGGUGAGAGUAAAUGCAGUACCUGCUUACACUGAGCAGCUUGGCAGCCAAGGGACUUGUAGGUAGUAGAGGCAGGAGAGUUAAAGAGAGUGGAGGAGCAGCCCAGACAGCCAUUGCAAGGAAUCCAAGCAACAUCACUGCUGGUGUCCAUGGCCAUGAGCAUGGUUUGAGCAGGAGUUCCAAUCUUAGCCCUCACAAUAUAAGUUGGGUUCUGGACGAUCUGCCUGCCUGAAGCAAUAGGCACUACAGAUUUGCGGGCGACAAGGCUAGAUAAAAACUGGAGCCUGGCCUUGUCCUUGGCCUGCAUUUGGAGCACACUCUCCUCCCAGGACAGUGGCUCUUUUGGCCUGA
rnacentral:lncRNA from 1 species